rnacentral:lncRNA from 1 species
GAAACAUAAACAUUACUAAGUUUGGCGGAAGAAGAUGAAAUCCGGCCUCCACGGAGGCUCCUUUCUCUCCCUAGGUCGAAUCCCCUUCAAAAAGUGUGUUCGAUGCCCUAAAAUAGGCGUUUUUGACUUAUAUAUUGCGUACAAAAGUCGUGGACCAAAGUUUCCCUUUUUCUUUUCCGAAUCAGCUUCAGGGAUUAAUGCUCGGGUGGAUGCUUCACGUCCGCCUCAGCUUGAACAUCUCAGCGUCGGAUGCUGGGGUGGAUGCUUCGUGUCCACCCUUUGUUCCUUCAACCUUGUUGUGACCAGGUGCGGAUGCUAAGGUGGAUGCCUUCUCCCGACUUCACUGAUAAGGGUGAACCAACUAGCCUUUUUUCCAAGGUGGAUGCGAUGCAUCCACCCUCUUCUCAUAUAGCUGGAGCACCUUUUCUUUAUUUUUUCACACCAAACAUCCUAAAUCAUCACAUACAACUUAAUUAGUCAUAAAACUAAUAAUUAACGCAAGUUGGGCAUUUUAAAGACCAAAUAGCACCAAAAAGAGAUUAAAAUAUGGGUAAAGUAAUAUUAAAAUAUAUAAGAAUAUGCCCAAUACCACCACCCCACACUUAAAGCUUUGUUCAUCCUCGAACAAACCAUCACUUUAGUAGACAAAACAAAAUUAAGCUCAUAUCAUUCAAAGCACGCCACACCUAUGAUCAUGGUUGAUUGCAACAAUUAAACUCUAGCAUAUGCAUUCAACACACACUUUCUUUUAACUUAUGCCAUAUUUUUAAAAUUAUUCUAAACAAAAGCAAUAUGCUCUUAACAAUCCUAGUCUCAAAACCCGACUCAAUGUCACAAUGCACUCAUGGCUUGAACACCCCACAUCAUAGAGAAGUCUAAUAAUAUAACCAAUCACUCGUGAAACCAUGUUCCCUCACAACAAAAUCAAGGAGAGUGAGUUGAAUCAAAACAUCAAAUCUCAUGAUCAAAUAUAAUUUAAGGACCUCACAUAUAUCAAAGAAAUAGCCCACUCUCACAAAGAAGUCACAUGCACGUAAUUGGUACCAUAGGCUUGCCCAUAAUGUAAACCUCUACUAAUGUAGGCUCGCUCGAUCUAAAAUUAAUUAGGACUUUUUCAUGGUUAUAAUGUGGGCUAAGGGACGGGUAGGAUAUAUUUUAGGAAUAGUGACUAACCCCCCAAGCACUUUAACACAUCACAUGGUAAACUUUAAACGCAUUUUCUUCAACACCACUUCAGUUUAACAAACAAGAUCACACCCCAAAAAUAUUCCCUCUUUCUUUAAACACUACCUUAAUUUACAUCCCGCUAGCAAGAACAAGACAAUAAUUUAUUCAUCUAUAUAUUUUUUCUUUUCUUUUUUCCAGUUUUUUCUCUUCUUUUUUUUCAACUAUUCUUUUUUUCUAUUUUCAUUUUUUGUUUGUGGGGUAUUAUUUUACAGAAUAAGUGCACAUUUAUUCCUUUCAUUGGUUCCACUCGAAAGCCACCCAAAUACCCUCCUUACUUCUUUUAGCGCUCAUUUCACAAUUAAAGUAUUUUAAGAGGUAAAAGGAUCAAGAGUUUCAAUUAAGAACAAAAGGAUAUAGGCUCGUAAUGUGCGUGCCAAAUAAAAGGUCUACAUGCUCAAAAGGGUUAACUAGGGAUAUAUUUUAUUUGUGAUAUUCAAUUAAUCUCAAAAAUAUCAAAGAAAGCCUAAAAUUAUUUUUCAAAUCGAGCAUCACCUAAAAUUUUGCUUCAACUGACAUACAAGGCAAGUUCUAGACUCAAUUACCAUACAUGGACUACACAAAAAUCUCACAACACAUGACACAUGACUCACUAAGGACGGUCCCAUUCGGACUCUCAAACAAUGCAAGUACUCACAAAGCCACAAGAUAUUAAGCAUGAAGCACAAAGUGAACAAUAGUCAAGUAAAAGAGACAUAGGCGUCACAAGACAUGCUAUCCAAUAUAUAAAGGCACCGUGCUCAAUUUCAAACACAUAGGGAAGAUAUUUCACAUGUCAAAGCCUAAAUAUGCUACUAUCAAAUAAGUCAAAGGCUCUAGGUUCAUCAUUUUUCCUUUAUUUAUUCCCUAAAUAUUAAUCUACUCUAGAAAUUAAAAAAAACUACUACCUGUCACACCUCCUUUUUCUCGAGGGAUAGGGAAAAUUUUCCAAUUAAAGUGACAUUAUUCGAAAUGAGAUUAUUUAUUUUAUCAGAGUCGCCACUUGAAAUAAUUAUUAAGGUGUCCCAAGUCAUCGACUUAUUUUAAAAUCCCAAAUCGAGGAAAUUGGCUCUAUUUAUGGUUCGCGAACACAGAAGAUCGGGUAAGAAAUUCUGUUAACCCGGGAGAAGGUGUGAGGCACUCCCGAGUUCCGUGAUUUUAGCAUGGUCACUUAACAAUUAAUACUUGGCUUAAUUAUAUGAAUUAUUACAUGUUUUAAACUUAUUGUGUAUUUUACCUUUGACCGCUUUUAAUUAUGUAUUUAAACCGCUUUCUAGUAUUUAUGGAGUUAUUCCUUGAACAAGUUACGAUGUCGUACACUUGUCAUUUUGGUACACAUUGCAAACCGCACCACGUGAAAUGCACUCGCGAUUUACAACAUAUUUAUUAUUAUUGUUUGAAGUUGUGGUCAAGUCGCGUAAAACGCGCACUCGAAUUGGGAUUUACGUAUCAUGACUAUGUUACGGGAAUCGUACCGAUAAUCAUGAUAAUUUAUUUAAACGCGCCUACGGCAACUAGCGCAUUCGAAUUAUUUUCCUAAACUAAUUUGAGAUUAUUGUGAGACCAUAAAUUAUGGAAUAGUUAUGAAAAAUGAAGUAAAUUGGUUAUGAGAAGAUGGGCUAGCUUUGUUAUUAAACAGGAAAUGGGCCAGCUAUGUUAUUUAUUACUCUGGGCCUCGCAAAUUAACCAUGUUCGCUCAUCUCUGUGUUCAUGAAGGCAACAUAAGGUCCACUAUUUUAUAACUGUGUGUCUAACAUAUCUAUAAAGUGCUACUUAUACUAAAACCUUAUCGAGACAGACCUCCAAGUUCCAAACCAAUUAAUCACGAAAUGCAACAAAAGAUUUAAUUAAAAAAUUUAUUAUGGCAAAAAGAAACAAAAUAGAAUAAAGCUUGGACAUAUAGAGAUACCACCAAGACAUCAAACCAAACGUGAACCUGUGGCCCGUCAACAUUGAAAGUAUUUUAAUUAGAGUCUUUGUUCAUGAUGAACAAAUUAAUGAAAACAAAUUAUCAAAAUUAACAUGUCCAAUAUGGUUUCCUUCCUAUCACAUUAACACAAUUAAAUAGGUAACUCAAUGAAAUACCGUUAAGGCUAGUCAAAGCACGAAAUUUAUUUAAAAGUAGAAGAGAAUGGACCUUUACAAUUGCUUGACUAUUUCCUUCAAAAUUCGAACAAGAAUGUACCUCUGACCGGAGUCGGAACCGCUAAACGGAGACCUCACUAGCGAGAUCGAACUGCGACCUUGAACCCGACCAAAGCUAUGGAUGGAGUUGGACUGAGAAGUAUCAGCUACAACAAAUUGGUUUUGGGUUGAUGUUUUAAUGGAUUUUAGGGCUGUUUUAUUGCGUUUUUGAGCUUGAGUUUCCAACUAGUUUUCAUGGAGUUUCGAGAAAGGAAAGUGAAGUUUUGUGUGGAUGUAAAGAUGGAGAAGAGCUUGCUUUAAUGGAGUUUUAUUGCUGUGCUUUUCGUGGUGUUCCCACAGUGAAGGUGAAACCAAGUAAAGAAGAAGGGAAAGAGAGACCUACUAUUGUUGCACGCGAGAAGAAGAAGAAGAAGAAGAAGAAGAAGAAGAAGAAGAAGAAGAAGAAGAAGAAGAAGAAGGCACUGCUUGGUUUUUAGUUCUCAAAUCGUUCUCUUUUCCCUGAUCUAUUUCCUCUCUUUUCCAUUUUUCCCCUAUUUUUGUUUCCUCCCUCUCUAGCUCUAUUUCCC